GGUCCAUUAGCUCAGCCGGUUAGAGCACACCCCUUAUAAGGGUGGGGUCCAGUGUUCAAGUCACUGAUGGACCACCA
rnacentral:tRNA from 1 species